CAUUUAUUUGACAUAUUUUGACAUUAUUGCAUACUGCUUAGAGAUUAACAUAGUGUUAUUGAAUGUAUUAUUUUAGUUCAAGACAUGUAAUAUGCUUGUAACUGAAUGUAUGUAUUGCUGAAUACCUAUUUGAGUGAGCAAAUGAGGGUUGAAGUCAGGACACGCUGGAAAGGAAAAGUGAAAUGUACUUUCAGGACACGCUGGAAAGGUAAUUUCAGGACACGAAAGGUCGCAACAGAACAUUUUAGAAGAAGGCGGGGUCAGAGCCCAACCAAGCUUAUAAAAAGCCUUACACACAAACGCACGGGGCUCUCUUAUCCAUCAAAGGAUAGGGAGCCGCACGCUCUUCUCUCUCGCAAUGACGGGACAUGCUGACAGGAGGAAUUAAUCAGGCUACUUGGAUGGCCUUUCUAUUUUUGGGGAUUUUCCUCCUUAAUUGGAUCCUCUCCAGUUCUGUCAGGUUGGAUGAUGAACGUUGGAGGUGAACCUUCGGCCCAGUCUGAGGUCCUGAGCAGUCUGGAGAAGAUUUUCGUCCAGCAUAUCCCUGUACUUGGCCACGUUCAUCUUUCCUACGAUUGCAACCAGUCGUCCUGUCCCUUUAUAUCGACAGGGGUGUGGCUUUCCUAAUCAAGUCCAAUCAGUAUAAUCAAACACAGCUGGACUCCAAUGAAGGUGUAGAACCAUCUCAAGGAUGAUCAGAAGAAAUGGACAGCACCCGAGUUAAAUAUAUGAGUGUCAUAGCAAAGGGUCUGAAUACUUAUGGCUGUGGGAUAUUUAAAUUUUCUUU